rnacentral:tRNA from 1 species
GCCGGCUUGGCCCAGGGGUAAGGCGUGUCACUCGUAAUGACAAGAUCAUCGGUUCGAAUCCGAUAGUUGGCA